GCGUCGGUGGUGUAAAGGUUAGCAUGGUUGCCUUCCAAGCAGCCGAUCUGGGUUCGACACCGGCCGACGCA
rnacentral:tRNA from 1 species